rnacentral:lncRNA from 1 species
CUGGGCUGGGGGUGUGCAGCUGGGUUUCCUCCUCCUCUGCUCCUCCCCCAGGGUCUGCUGGCAGAUGGGGYGCGGGCCCCUGGGGGACGGGGAGAGAGUGCUGGGUCAGGUUUUCAGGGUGACUCAGCCCCCCUGGGUGCUGGGAGCSGGCUGGGAACCCUGCGUGGGGAGGGGGAGGCGGGCUUGGGUCUCUGGCUGCCCUGAGUGUCAUGCUUGGGUUUGGAGGAGCCAGGAGGCCUGGGACCCCUGUGCUGUGUUUUGGGGGCCAGACUGGCCUGUCCGUCUGGGAGGAGGAGCUUGGUGCCUGGGCCCUGCCAGCCCGAGUCAGGGCAGAUUCUUUUGAAGACGUCCCGCCGCCCCAAGAACACCCUGCCUGUCUUCAGACGUCUUCCCACUGCAACCUUCUUCUCAGUUGUUUGUGAAUAAAUUGCUGAUCCGUCUG